rnacentral:rRNA from 1 species
UACGUAGGUGGCAAGCGUUGUCCGGGUUUACUGGGCGUAAAGAGCGCGCAGGCGGUCGUUCAAGUCGCGUGUGAAAGCCCCCGGCUCAACUGGGGAGGGUCACGCGAUACUGAUCGACUCGAAGGCAGGAGAGGGUAGUGGAAUUCCCGGUGUAGUGGUGAAAUGCGUAGAUAUCGGGAGGAACACCAGUGGCGAAGGCGACUACCUGGCCUGUUCUUGACGCUGAGGCGCGAAAGCCAGGGGAGCGAACGGG